GCCGGGGCUGGUGCGGCGGCGGGUGUGGGUGUGGGGCGCGGUGAUGCUCGGCUUGUCGGGGGUGUUCCAGGCGCUCGCCCUGGCG
rnacentral:tRNA from 1 species